GCCGGGGAGAUUCAAACAUAAACCAUUUAGUCUCCGGGAUGGAGAGAGAUGGGAGUGGGGCAUGGCGCUGGAAAAUUAUUGCCCUUAAAGCUACGCCCCUCAUGGAUCCAGAAAGAGAACACAUUCCUUCAAGACCACAGGGGCAAAUACAUAGGAUGGAUGAGGGCUGGUGUGAGAGGAAGCUGAGUUGGGUACCAAGACAUUCAUUCUCUCCAGGCGGUUACAAGGACCCUAACAUGCUAUUAACGAAGACCAAAUGAAUUUUCUUAGCUGUUCUUGGAAGGCACUCAAAUAUACCAGUCUAGAGUGUCAGUUUGGAAACCAGCUCACCUCCAUCAUUUCCAGUCGUUUGACACUAAUGGCUCCAGAGGCUUUUGAGUUUGUAUGGCACUUCACAGCAGGACUCUCCCUAAGGUAAGAUGCUUAUGUCACUUAACAUUUAACCCCUUUAACUUCUCUCAUAAUGAUUCUUUGUUUACCAAGAUGUAUUCCAAUUUUAUUCUGCCUGAAGAGUAAACAUUGCUUGUGUGUAAUUACAGGCUUCUGGCAUGUGCAACAGGUUAUUCUAAGUUAGUCCCAAUUAUGUUUUUGCUUCCUCAUACCUAUAUCUGUGUAGGGCAGAAUAUUUCUUGGUUCACUAUACCUUGGGUUUUCUGAUCUGGAAAAUUACGAUUUUGUUUGAGAGCUGAUAGUUAUGUUACUGUAAAUUAAUACAU